UACGUAGGGUGCAAGCGUUAAUCGGAAUUACUGGGCGUAAAGCGUGCGCAGGCGGUUGUGCAAGACAGGUGUGAAAUCCCCGGGCUUAACCUGGGAACUGCGCUUGUAACUGGCAAGCUUGAGUGUGGCAGAGGGGGGUGGAAUUCCACGUGUAGCAGUGAAAUGCGUAGAGAUGUGGAGGAACACCGAUGGCGAAGGCAGCCCCCUGGGCUAACACUGACGCUCAUGCACGAAAGCGUGGGGAGCAAACAGG
rnacentral:rRNA from 1 species